CGUGUACGCGCGCCGAAAAACCCGGUAAAUCGUAUUUAUUUCUCUUUCCCCCCCACCCCUCCGCGACGGCAUAUUAUUCGUUAUUGAAAUAAAUGGCGGACGACGCGACGUGAUCGCGUAAUAGUUGCCGGCGCGCGGCGGUGCCCGGGAAUUUUCGAACGGUAGGGCGGGUAGUGUAAAUAACAGUUCCGCGAACGGCCGCGAUCUCUUCGUGUUCCCGUAACCACACUUGAC